rnacentral:lncRNA from 1 species
AUGGAGGAGUGCUCAGAGCUUGUCCAUCCCCAUCUGUGCUGUCAGGGCAAACAGAGGAGGUGUGACAUCCUAGGAGAGGGUGGGGAUGUUCCAGGUGUCUCUGGAAUGUGCGUGACAUCCUGGAGAGCAGGGAUUGCUCUGGGGGUCCUCUGGAAUGUGUGUGACAUCCUGGAGAGCAGGGAUUGCUCUGGGGGUCCCCAGAAGGGUGUGAUUGGAGCCUGUCAAAGCCGUUCCAGGUGCAGGAGGGACACUUUGGGAACAGCACAUCAUGCUGGGCUGCAGGACCUGGACGUGGUGGGUGAUGGGAUGCAGUGCCCCCCAUCCCCUCUGCUCUUUGACCCUUCCGUGACCCUCGAUCCGUCCCUGCGGGACAUGGCCGAGGCUCCCAUCGACAUCCUGGCGCUGGAGGAGCCGGACAGGGGCAGCUCCUCCCCCCCACUCGCCCCUCCGGCCGAGGGGCCCGCGCAGAGUCACCUCCCGUUCCAGCCGGGGCCGCGGGAGGAGCAGCAGCCGCAGGACACGGCCUCGUCCAGCCCGGCCCGCGCAGCAGCUGCCAACGGGAGCCUGGAGCCGGGGGCCGUGGGCUGAGCCCGGCAGCAGCGGCGUCCCCACACCCGGGGACCCUCGGCGUGGGCCCUGGGGGGAUGGGUCCUGCUCCAGUGCCAGGAUGAGCUGCAGCUCCGGCUCCUCUGCCGAUUGCUGGAGCCACAGGGACCCCUAAGAUCCCAGCGUGGGGCUGCAGCUCUCCUGUCCUCUGUGGGCAUGGAGUAGCCACAGGAGACUGGGGAGGGAAAUCACGGAAGUUCUGGGGGCCUCUGCCGCGCCCUGGCGGGCCCUGGGGGGUGAUGUGGCCCUGCGAUGUUUUGGGGGGACAGAGGUUGCGUGCCGCGGGGUCCCCCACAAUAAAGUGAUGGAGGUGGAUGCCCGGUGUCCCUGU